AGUUGAAAGUGGAAGCGACGAUAGCCCAGUUUUAAGUUUAGGGGCAGCAACAUUGUGCAUUUGAGCUUCUCAGGAUAAGUCACCAAUGGCAGCUGGGUUAGCUUUAUCCAUAGCCGUAACUCCAAAAUUGAGGUUAAUUUCCCACCAAAAUCAAUCUUCUGCACAAAAGGAUAAAUAUCAAGUAACUGGUAGCUGGAUGAAAACAGCUAUCUUCAGCUACCUAGAAGAUGAACUACAUUAAAGAAGCUGCUUGUGGUAUCUUUGGUAUCAACAGUAUCUUGGCUCCUUCAGCUUUUUUCUGUUAUAUGCAUAUUCUUAUUCACCACUUGAUUUUGUGCUUGAUGAAAAGGGGUUGCUUGAGCGACUUUUAUUGCUAUCUGAUCCUGAAAUUACCUGCAAAAGAUCAUUACUUUUUUAUGUGUUUGAAGGUUCUUCUUCAUGGUGGGUAUGCCAAUCAACAUUGCUGACAUUCUUCCAUCUGCAGCAUUCUCAUGAUAUUUUCUUGAAGUUGAAACUGUUUUCAAUUUGCUUUUACAAAGAUGUUCUUAUAUCACUUACUUGAGAGCUAGAUCGACUUUCACUAGUUGGGCUUCUUGGGCUGCUUCCAAAAUGCAUUGGUUGCAUUGCUUCUUCAGCAAGUAAACGUAACCUGUUAAGUUCAGGCAAAAUUACAGUGCCAAGAUCUGGUCGGUCUUUACGCCUGAGUUCUGCACACUUGAGUGCUAACUUGGCAAACGUUAAAGCCUCUUCCACAGGCCAGUCAGGAACUGCUGGAUCAAGCAUAUCAGCAAAAGUGCCUUUCUCAAUUGCCCUCUCAACAUGGAUCUAUAUAACAAAAUGUUCCCGCUGUUGAUGUCAUUCGGUACUGUGUCACGGAGUCAGCUAUAGAAGGGGGGACGAGCCUAGCUAAACCAACAUCGCUGAUCUUACUUACAUAGUUGCGGUCAAGCAAAAUGUUGCCAGGUUUCAGAUCCCUGUGCACUAGAGGUUCUGGCUUGGUCUGGUGAAGGAAAAGGAGGCUAGUUCCGACCUCUGCAGCUAUACGAAAUCUCAGUUGCCAAGGAAGAACUUGAGUGCUUCCUCUUCGGAAGAGGCGAUCAUCUAAGCUCCCAUUGGCCAUGUACUCAUACACUAGGCAGCCAAAUUCAGGGCAGGCUCCAAGUAGAAGAACCAUGUUUGGAUGCCUUAUGCAGCUUAGAACUUCAACCUGCAUCAGAGCAAAUGAAAAGGGGCAUGAGAGAAUAUAACCUUUUCGGGAACUACUCUAUGACUAAUUGGAUUUGCUUGAUAUUCCUGUAGUUGAUGUUGAAAUGCAUACCAUGUUGCUGGGUGAAGACCAUGAUCCAUUGCCACUAUCAAAAGAAUUUGAUGAGAAGCCAUUGGCUUCAGAUAACCUGGUUGCUGAGAAUGAUGAUCCAAAGCUUAGUCUGCUCUCCGUUUCUGAGCUGUUUGAAAGUCGUGGAGCAGAAUAUUUAGCAUCUGUGUCUGAGCUGUUUGAAAGCCGAGGGGGAAGACCCAAAUCGUGACUGCUAUCCAUAGAGAUUGGAAAUGUAGAGCUUGGACGACCAGAGCUCACAAAUGAUAAAUCAGAUUCUGCCACUGAGAGGUGGAAAAACAGACCUUUUGUGUCGCUGCUGAUUUGUGCAUAACGUGUAUCAGCGAAGCCAAGCUUAGCACCUAGAGAGGAGGUGGAAUGAUUCUGCUGCGAGGGAGUUGGUGAACUGGGAACUGGAGAAGAUGCAUUCUUUGUCGAUUGAAUUUUGCCUUUGGCAAUCACAAAAACUGUGCAAAAGUCAGCGCCCACCACUAGAUUCUCUAUGACGUUGGCUGUAACAUAGUCACUUAUGGAGGUCGCUAUGUCUAUGCCUUCAAUUACAACUUCAUUGACUUGAAUCUACGACAAAGAGAUAUAAGAUGAUUCAGAAAAUGAAACGACAUCUGCAAGAACACGAGGAAGAUUGAACGUUUAAGCAGCAACGUGCACUUACAUUCUUACGGGUG